UUCAAAUGAGAUGCCGGUAAGCCGAUAGAAGUUCCUUGAAUAUUCUGUACUCAGAAUUUGCAGCUUUGUCCCUUAGCUUAGCGUCAAACGGAGAUCAAAAUACGCCGUAUGGUUUAGUCAUCUAGAGCUAACUAAGGUCGGCUGGGACUCGCAUGGCCCUUCAAGGCCACAGAAGGUAUCUGUAAAACGAACAAGAGGAGCCAGCCAGGAUGUCGCUUGCAUGCGGCGCAGCAGAACUUGCCAAAGGGAACAAUAUUAGGCUGCUUUUUGAACGCAACAACGAGAACAACUUUGAUUUAACCAAGCCAACAUGUUGUUCGACGGUGUGGAUGGUAAUGGUCUGUUAUGACAGCUACGUUAAUCUAAUUCAGCUGUUCAACGCGCACCACAUGUGCUGAACAUAUGACUAGUGUGUAUUAAAUGAUUUUUACUUCGGUGCUCAGACGGAAAUAGAUCCAGAUGGUAGGCCCUGAAGUAAAACAUUACUGGGACGGGCUUCCUAGAGUUCACUAGAGGAUCCGAUAUCUGUUGAUCACAGUGUGUUUCAUAUUUAGUUUUGUGAUUUUUUACGGCGGGGAGUUCAUGUGGUAAAUUCAUUANCAAUGGUUUAAGAGUUCGAAAGAAAGUGAAAUGAGCAAUAUGGAAGGAUGGGUAGAUGUUAAAAAUACGAGCAAAUAAAUGGGAAUUAUCGAAUAAACGGAAUAAUUCAGAUAAUAAAUAAAGAGAGGGAUGAGAGAAUGAGAAAUUGAACAAAAGAAUAAAAAAACUAGGAUGAUCUUUUAUCCAUUGACUCAAUAGGAUUUGAACGAAUUAUAUUUUUAACAGAAUCCAAAACGAUCCAUUAAUCUUUGGUCCAACGUUGUCACUUACGAUGAACGAGAGAAAAGAGAACUUCGAUAAUUAACUGACACAUUUACAAUGAGUGAUGGACUGGGUACUAGGCUCUCAGGGAUUAAUUAUAUCAAGCAAGUGGAAACGUUUAUAAUCAGCAUCCAAGGAAGGAUAUUGUUUUGCGGGAAAGGGCAUCAAAGAUUUAAUAAGNUUGAGAACUUNAAGUUGAUUUAAUGGCGAUGGUGGUGACUUANCGNGAAAGUGAGCUGCACUCAAUUGAAUUGUAUAGUAUCUUAAACAGUCUUAGUAAAUAAUGGCUUUGGAGUGCUAUUUAAAAGGAAAUGCACUUUCCUCAGAUUGGUAUUGGAAUUAAAAGUGAUUAGCUGGAUUUGAGAUUUUCAAUUGCGCAGCUAAAAUAGAUGAGAUGUACAAAAAGUCANUCUAUUUUAUACAUUGUUGUUUUANGGAUAGUUAAAAAGAACUACAAUA
rnacentral:lncRNA from 1 species